UGGGAUGCCGCCCGCUUGACGUGACCAAUCGUCAAGAGGCCGCGUCCCACCAGC
rnacentral:pre_miRNA from 1 species